rnacentral:rRNA from 1 species
UACGGAGGGUGCGAGCGUUGUCCGGAAUCACUGGGCGUAAAGGGCGCGUAGGUGGCGCGGGCAGUCAACGGUGAAAGUUCGGGGCUCAACCCGAAUCGGCCGUCGAUACUCCCGGGCUUGAGCACUGUAGAGGCUAAUGGAAUUCCGGGUGUAGCGGUGGAAUGCGUAGAGAUCCGGAAGAACACCGGUGGCGAAGGCGGUUAGCUGGGCCUUACCUGACGCUGAGGAGCGAAAGCGUGGGGAGCGAACAGG